rnacentral:rRNA from 1 species
GAUCAAGUGUCUUAAGGGCAGUUGGUGGAUGCCUUGGCAUGCACAGGCGAUGAAGGACGUGAUACGCUGCGAUAAGCUACGGGGAGGUGCGAAUACCCUUUGAUCCGUAGAUUUCCGAAUGGGGAAACCCACCUUAGGUACUUGGGAAUCAGAGCAGCGGCUUGAUUUAGGUCGGGCUGCUGUUGUGGUUUCCAAGUAUCGUGAAAAGGUAUCUUCACCUGAAUACAUAGGGUGAAAGAAGCGAACGCGGGGAACUGAAACAUCUAAGUACCCGUAGGAAAGGACAUCAACCGAGACUCCGCUAGUAGUGGCGAGCGAACGCGGACCAGGCCAGUGACAAUCAUGAGACAAGCGGAACCUUCUGGAAAGUUGGGCCGUAGCGGGUGAUAGCCCCGUACGCGUAAUGCAAGUGAUUGUCCUCGAGUAAGGCGGGACACGUGAAAUCCUGUCUGAAAUUUGGGGGACCACCCUCAAAGCCUAAGUACUCGUGCAUGACCGAUAGUGAACUAGUACCGUGAGGGAAAGGUGAAAAGCACCCCGACAGGGGGAGUGAAAUAGUACCUGAAACCGACUGCCUACAAACAGUGGGAGCCUGAAAUGGUGACCACGUACCUUUUGUAUAAUGGGUCAGCGACUUAGUGUAACGAGCAAGCUUAAGCCGGUAGGUGUAGGCGUAGCGAAAGCGAGUCUUAAUAGGGCGUCCAGUUCGUUGCAUUAGACCCGAAACCGAGUGAUCUAGCCAUGAGCAGGCUGAAGGUAAGGUAACACUUACUGGAGGGCCGAACCCGUAUCUGUUGCAAUAGAUUGGGAUGACUUGUGGCUAGGGGUGAAAGGCCAAUCAAACUCGGAAAUAGCUGGUUCUCCGCGAAAUCUAUUUAGGUAGAGCGUCGACCGAAUACCCUCGGGGGUAGAGCACUGGAUGGGCUAGGGGUCCUCACCGGAUUACCAAACCUAACCAAACUCCGAAUACCGAGGAGUACUAGUCGGCAGACACACGGCGGGUGCUAACGUCCGUCGUGGAGAGGGAAACAACCCUGACCAACAGCUAAGGUCCCCAAGUUAUGGCUAAGUGGGAAAGGAUGUGAGGAUCCCAAAACAACCAGGAUGUUGGCUUAGAAGCAGCCAUCAUUUAAAGAAAGCGUAACAGCUCACUGGUCUAAUUAAGGGUCUUUGCGCCGAAAAUGUAACGGGGCUAAAGCCAUACACCGAAGCUUUGGGCUUGCUUUGCAAGCGGUAGCGGAGCGUUCCGUAAGUCUGUGAAGGGAGAUUCGUGAGAACUCCUGGAGAUAUCGGAAGUGCGAAUGCUGACAUGAGUAACGAUAAAGGGAGUGAGAGACUCCCUCGCCGAAAGACCAAGGGUUCCUGCUUAAAGUUAAUCUGAGCAGGGUUAGCCGGCCCCUAAGACGAGGCAGAAAUGCGUAGUCGAUGGGAACCACGUUAAUAUUCGUGGGCCUGGUGGUAGUGACGGAUCGUAGACGUCGUUUGUCCUUAUCGGAUUGGACAGGCGGCCAAGCGGUCCCGGGAAAUAGCUCCACCGUACAGACCGUACCCGAAACCGACACAGGUGGUCAGGUAGAGUAUACCAAGGCGCUUGAGAGAACUCUGCUGAAGGAACUCGGCAAAAUACACGCGUAACUUCGGGAUAAGCGUGACCCUUUUGAGGGCAACCUCAGGGGGGUGGCACAGACCAGGGGGUAGCGACUGUUUAUCAAAAACACAGGGCUCUGCGAAGUCGCAAGACGACGUAUAGGGUCUGACGCCUGCCCGGUGCUGGAAGGUUAAGAGGAGAGGUGCAAGCUUUGAAUCGAAGCCCCAGUAAACGGCGGCCGUAACUAUAACGGUCCUAAGGUAGCGAAAUUCCUUGUCGGGUAAGUUCCGACCUGCACGAAUGGCGUAACGACUUCCCCGCUGUCUCCAGCAGAGACUCAGUGAAAUUGAAUUCCCCGUGAAGAUGCGGGGUUCCUGCGGUUAGACGGAAAGACCCCGUGCACCUUUACUAUAGCUUUACACUGGCAUUCGCCAAGGCAUGUGUAGGAUAGGUGGUAGGCUUUGAAGCGUGGGCGCCAGCUCGCGUGGAGCCAUCCUUGAAAUACCACCCUUAUCUUCGUGGAUGUCUAACCGCGGCCCGUCAUCCGGGUCCGGGACAGUGUAUGGUGGGUAGUUUGACUGGGGCGGUCGCCUCCUAAAGAGUAACGGAGGCGCGCGAUGGUGGGCUCAGAACGGUCGGAAAUCGUUCGCUGAGUGCAAUGGCAUAAGCCUGCCUGACUGCGAGACUGACAAGUCGAGCAGAGUCGAAAGACGGUCAUAGUGAUCCGGUGGUCCCGUGUGGAAGGGCCAUCGCUCAACGGAUAAAAGGUACGCCGGGGAUAACAGGCUGAUGACCCCCAAGAGUCCAUAUCGACGGGGUUGUUUGGCACCUCGAUGUCGACUCAUCGCAUCCUGGGGCUGGAGCAGGUCCCAAGGGUAUGGCUGUUCGCCAUUUAAA